CGAACGCUGGCGGCGUGCCUAAUACAUGCAAGUCGAGCGAGCGAAACUAACAGAUUUACUUCGGUAAUGACGUUAGGAAAGCGAGCGGCGGAUGGGUGAGUAACACGUGGGGAACCUGCCCCAUAGUCUGGGAUACCACUUGGAAACAGGUGCUAAUACCGGAUAAGAAAGCAGAUCGCAUGAUCAGCUUUUAAAAGGCGGCGUAAGCUGUCGCUAUGGGAUGGCCCCGCGGUGCAUUAGCUAGUUGGUAAGGUAAAGGCUUACCAAGGCGAUGAUGCAUAGCCGAGUUGAGAGACUGAUCGGCCACAUUGGGACUGAGACACGGCCCAAACUCCUACGGGAGGCAGCAGUAGGGAAUCUUCCACAAUGGACGCAAGUCUGAUGGAGCAACGCCGCGUGAGUGAAGAAGGUUUUCGGAUCGUAAAGCUCUGUUGUUGGUGAAGAAGGAUAGAGGUAGUAACUGGCCUUUAUUUGACGGUAAUCAACCAGAAAGUCACGGCUAACUACGUG
rnacentral:rRNA from 1 species